rnacentral:rRNA from 1 species
UACGUAGGGUGCAAGCGUUGUUCGGAAUUAUUGGGCGUAAAGAGCUCGUAGGCGGUCUGUCACGUCGGCUGUGAAAACCCGAGGCUCAACCUCGGGCCUGCAGUCGAUACGGGCAGACUAGAGUUCGGUAGGGGAGACUGGAAUUCCUGGUGUAGCGGUGAAAUGCGCAGAUAUCAGGAGGAACACCGGUGGCGAAGGCGGGUCUCUGGGCCGAAACUGACGCUGAGGAGCGAAAGCGUGGGGAGCGAACAGG